rnacentral:rRNA from 1 species
UACGUAGGGGGCGAGCGUUAUCCGGACUUAUUGGGCGUAAAGCGUGUGUAGGCGGUUUGUUUAGUCUAAAAUUAAAGCCUGAGGCUCAACCUCAGUUCGUUUUAGAAACUGGCAGACUUGAGUGUGGUAGAGGCAAGUGGAAUUUCUAGUGUAGCGGUUAAAUGCGUAGAUGUUAGAAGGAACACCAGUGGCGAAGGCGGCUUGCUGGGCCAUUACUGACGCUGAGACACGAAAGCGUGGGGAGCAAAUA